CACCGCCCGUCACACCAUGGGAGUCAGUUGCUCUAGAAGUCGCCGCGCCAACCGCAAGGAGGCAGGCGCCCAAAGAGUGACUGGUAACUGGGGUG
rnacentral:rRNA from 1 species